rnacentral:rRNA from 1 species
AUACGUAGGGGGCAAGCGUUAUCCGGAUUUACUGGGUGUAAAGGGAGCGUAGACGGCGAAGCAAGUCUGAAGUGAAAGGACGGGGCCCAACCCCGGAACUGCUUUGGAAACUGUUUGGCUGGAGUGCGGGAGGGGUAAGCGGAAUUCCUAGUGUAGCGGUGAAAUGCGUAGAUAUUAGGAGGAACACCGGUGGCGAAGGCGGCUUACUGGACCGUAACUGACGUUGAGGCUCGAAGGCGUGGGGAGCAAACAGGAUUAGAUACCCUGGUAGUCCACGCGGUAAACGAUGAUCACUAGGUGUCCGUGGGUAUGACCCAUGGGUGCCGCAGCCAACGCAAUAAGUGAUCCACCUGGGGAGUACGUUCGCAAGAAUGAAACUCAAAGGAAUUGACGGGG